rnacentral:lncRNA from 1 species
UAUAGACACCCUUUUAAUUCUCCAAUCACAGACGUAACUCCGAUUUCACAAAACAGUCAAGAGUGAUCACAUCCACUUCAUUAAAAAUCCCGAUUCACUAUUACAACACUGACUUCAGCAAUGAUUGCCUCAAUCUUCCCAAAACCCUAUAAAGAAGAAAAACCCAAUUCUCUAUCUUUUCUUCCCCGACCCCGAAGCAUGAAGCUAGCUCUCUCCUAUCUUCAAAAAAAACCUCCCCA